GACAGAGGGGGCAAGCGUUGCUCGGAAUCACUGGGCGUAAAGGGCGCGUAGGCGGGAUGGCAAGUCAGUCGUGAAAUCUCUCGGCUCAACCGAGAAACGUCGGCUGAUACUGCCGUUCUUGAGGGAUGCAGAGGAGACUGGAAUUCCCGGUGUAGCGGUGAAAUGUGUAGAGAUCGGGAGGAACACCGGUGGCGAAGGCGGGUCUCUGGGCCGAUACUGACGCUGAGGAGCGGAAGCGUGGGGAGCAAACAGG
rnacentral:rRNA from 1 species